UACGGAGGGUGCAAGCGUUAAUCGGAAUUACUGGGCGUAAAGCGUACGUAGGCGGCUUGUUAAGCAAGAUGUGAAAUCCCCGGGCUCAACCUGGGAAUGGCAUUUUGAACUGGUAGGCUCGAGUUCUGAAGAGGGUGGUAGAAUUUCCAGUGUAGCGGUGAAAUGCGUAGAUAUUGGAAGGAAUACCGGUGGCGAAGGCGGCCACCUGGUCAGAAACUGACGCUGAGGUACGAAAGCGUGGGGAGCAAACAGG
rnacentral:rRNA from 1 species